GACGAACGCUGGCGGCGUGCUUAACACAUGCAAGUCGAACGGAAAGGCCCUGCUUUUGUGGGGUGCUCGAGUGGCGAACGGGUGAGUAACACGUGAGUAACCUGCCCUUGACUUUGGGAUAACUUCAGGAAACUGGGGCUAAUACCGGAUAGGAGCUCCUGCUGCAUGGUGGGGGUUGGAAAGUUUCGACGGUUGGGGAUGGACUCGCGGCUUAUCAGCUUGUUGGUGGGGUAGUGGCUUACCAAGGCUUUGACGGGUAGCCGGCCUGAGAGGGUGACCGGGAACGUCAGUGCUGCACGAAGGCCCAGCGUGCAACGUGAGGCAGCAGGGGGGAGGAUUACACAAUGGGAUGGAGCGUGAUGCAGCGCCGACGCGGGCGGGAAGACGGCAUGCGGGGUGGAAACCGCUUUGGCCUGAGACGACGAGUGAGUGACGGUAAUGGGUAAAGAAGCACCGGCUAACUACGUG
rnacentral:rRNA from 1 species